CCUACGGGAGGCAGCAGUGAGGAAUAUUGGUCAAUGGUCGGGAGACUGAACCAGCCAAGCCGCGUGAGGGAUGAAGGUACAGAGUAUCGUAAACCUCUUUUGUCAGGGAACAAAGGCGGGGACGUGUCCCCGGAUGAGUGUACCUGAAGAAAAAGCAUCGGCUAACUCCGUGCCAGCAGCCGCGGUAAUACGGAGGAUGCGAGCGUUAUCCGGAUUUAUUGGGUUAAAAGGGUGCGCAGGCGGUCUGUUAAGUCAGCGGUAAAAGCCCGGGGCUCAACCCCGGCCCGCCGUUGAAACUGGCAGUCUCGAGUUGGAGAGAAGUAUGCGGAAGGCGCGGUGUAGCGGUGAAAUGCAUAGAUAUCGCGCAGAACUCCGAUGGCGAAGGCAGCAUGCCGGCUCCACACUGACGCUGAGGCACGAAAGCGUGGGUAUCGAACAGGAUUAGAUACCCCUGUAGUC
rnacentral:rRNA from 1 species